rnacentral:tRNA from 1 species
GGCUCAGUAGCUCAACGGCUAGAGCGAACGAUUGUUAAUCGUAAGGUAUCGGGUUCGAUUCCCGGGUGAGCCGCCA